rnacentral:rRNA from 1 species
UGGGGAAUCUUGCACAAUGGGGGCAACCCUGAUGCAGCGACGCCGCGUGAGCGAUGAAGCCCUUCGGGGCGUAAAGCUCUUUCGACCGGAACGAUAAUGACGGUACCGGGAGCAGAAGCUGCGGCUAACUACGUGCCAGCAGCCGCGGUAAUACGUAGGCAGCAAGCGUUGUUCGGAGUUACUGGGCGUAAAGAGUGCGUAGGCGGUUUUCUAAGUUCGGUGUGAAAUCUCCCGGCUUAACUGGGAGGGUGCGCCGAAGACUGGGAAGCUGGAGUGUGGGAAAGGCAGGCGGAAUUCCUGGUGUAGCGGUGAAAUGCGGAGAUAUCAGGAGGAACACCGGCGGUGUAGACGGCUUGCUAGACCAUAACUGACGCUGAGGCACGAAAGCGUGGGUAGCAAACA